rnacentral:other from 1 species
AGAUGACUGUUUGGUGCGUAAUUCCGCAGCUCUUCCGAGCCACAAGUUUUUUUAGGGAGUUGUUCCUGCUCUGAUCGUGGUCUUUGCAUACGACACCCACCUAGUGAGAUGCGGUUCGUGAAAGAAUGUUUUGUACGGCCCGACGGUUAUCUC